UACGGAGGGGGCUAGCGUUGUUCGGAAUUACUGGGCGUAAAGCGCACGUAGGCGGCUUUGUAAGUUAGAGGUGAAAGCCCAGGGCUCAACCCUGGAGUUGCCUUUAAGACUGCAUCGCUUGAACAUCGGAGAGGUAAGUGGAAUUCCGAGUGUAGAGGUGAAAUUCGUAGAUAUUCGGAAGAACACCAGUGGCGAAGGCGACUUACUGGACGAUUGUUGACGCUGAGGUGCGAAAGCGUGGGGAGCAAACAGG
rnacentral:rRNA from 1 species